UGAGAAGGUGUGUGCACCCGUACAAAGCGUAUGUGGGAGGCUCCUAGAGAGAGAAGAAAUCUUGAAAGUGCCUCACCUAAUGAAAGGAUUGCUGGAGAAGGGACUAAAAGACGAAGAAGACCUACUUCUGCUCCAGAACGUUCUUUUACAAUGUGACUGCUGUUACAGAAUUAACUGAUAGUCCAGGAAAAGCACCUAGAACCGCGCUUGGGACAGAGUAAACAGUCAAUAAACAUUAGUUAUUAUUAUUUUUAACAAAUGGUUAGGGGAAGAAUUUCUUCAAAGACAUCCAGGAGAGAGAAGUUUGACUAGACCCAAAGACCUAUACUCAAAACGUCUGAGUGACACGAGGGAAAAUGAAUUUUUGGGACCCCAGAGCUAUCGUUCAGGACUUGCCAAACAAGGAAAGGCUCUGCGAGGACAGAGAGAGAAGACAACCAACUGCAAGCCAGAAGGAGAGCCCUUGCCUGAAACUGAAUUGGCCGAAACCUUGAUCUUAGAC